CAGAAGCUAUAGAGGCCUCUACAAGACUUGGAUGUGGUCGGGACAAGUAUGGCAAUGAUCAGUAUAUAUGUCUCCCUAACAGAGAGAAGACUGGUCUGGUAGAAUUCUGUCACGAUGGAAUCAUGGGGAUAAUUCAAAGAGGAUUCUGUUUGGAGACAACUGAUGGUAAUCUGUUUUCACGUGACUGCUCAGGGUUUAUAGAAGGCUGUCCAGAUAAUCCCUACAGGAGCAAUGAAAAUUACCACUACCCUGCAUGUCAGAGAAUUAAUACAGAAG